UUUUUUCUUUCUCACCUUCACUGAUCUCUGAUUCUCUCUGUUUUUCGGUUUCUAUCUCUUCUCUUCUCCAUCAAAUCCUGAUUUCUCUAGUUCUCAAUAUCUCGAUACUCUUUACAGAUUUCAUUUUGAUGUGGUUUACCGAUCUGAUUAAUCGAGUAAACUUAAAUUUUUUAGGGUUUCGAUCGAAAAACGAUGAAAAUCGUUUCUCUUGAUGUCACUUUCUCGAAUCCAUUAUAUCUUAUUGUAAUUUUUUUGUUUUGAUGUUCAAAAAAAUCUUCAUUUCGUUUGCAGAUUUAUUUUUUAAAACAAACCCCUAAUUUCCACUCUUAAUAUCCAUAAUUUCCCUUCUAUACUUUCAUCUACUGUGAUUCAAAAGUACAAAUUUCUGUGUGUUUAAACAUUCACAGGUUUAUCUUUUGGAAAAUCACUCUCUAAAUUAUUUUUUGAACAACCUUCAUUUUUUUAAUUGAUCAACCCGUUCACAUCUCAAACCUGUUUCGUUCAGAAAUAUUUCAGAUCUGUGAAAUUAAUGUUUUAGGGUUUCGAUUUUUGACAAAAAGACGAUCUCUAUUUUUUUUAAAAUCACCUAUUUGAUCUGUGAUUGACAUUCACAGGUUCAUUGAUUUGAAAACCCUAAUUUUUGUCUAUGUUUUUUUGAAACCCUAGAAUCUUAACAGUUUUUUUGGUAUUUUGACCAAAUAUCUCUGAUAAACCAGUUUUGUAUUUCAAAAACCCAAAAUCCAUUUCAUAUUGUUCAAAAUCUGUACAUUUUAAAAAAAAAACUUAAUUUUUUUUCGAAAAUUUUCAGAUCUACUUAUUAUUUUGAUUUGUUUAAGAGAAUGAGGUUCUCUCUGAGAAACUAUUGUGCAUGUCACCCCGUUAUAUUUGAACACCUUAAGAUACUGCAUCUUUGAUACAAUACACUGGUAUCACUUUUGCUUAAAAAUGCUCACUCAGGUAAACUCGUUUAUAUUUUUGUUGUCUAUCUCUCUCAUUAUAUAUACACUGUGUGGAUACUGAUAUCCACUGGCUUUAUAUUUUUUGGCAUUCAUAUUGUAUAUUGUGUGGACACUGAUGUCCACUAGGUUUAUUUAUUGAACUACUACUUGCUCAAUCCUACUGAGAUUUGUGAUAAAUGCUAGAUUUUACAUAAUACCUGCCUCUCUAGAAUUUAUUUUGUAAUGUCAGUUUUCUAUCUUCUGAUAUAACUCGGUUCUAUAUUUCUCUGUGAAAUAGUUCUUUGUCGUGUUAUACUAAAGAAUGUUAUAAAUGUUAAACACUGCUACAUUCUUUUGUAAUCAUUUUUGAAACUGACUGAACAUAAUUGUUCUCUGUGUUAGAUAUAUGUCAUAUGGCUCUUUUUUUUGUUACUAUUUUCUUACCCUCUUAAAUAUAAAAUUUAAAAAAGUAUCCACUUCACUGUUGAACUUAAAUAUUUUAUGUUCUUCACUACAGUUCCCAGUAUGGUCAUAUUACUUGUAUACUUACUGCUAAUCUUCACUACCAAUACUUCGUGUAUUAAAUAUAAGGACCAUCUUGCCUGCAUCAUAUCAUUACAUUAUUUUCUCUUUAUCUAUAAGUUCAUUCUCAAUAUGGUGCAUUCACAUGUUCAGUCCUUACCUAGCUUCAUCCUUUCAUCUCUCUUACCUGGUUCUUUGCUCAUCAUGAUUAAUGUUUUCUCAUCUAAACGAAAGAAACUCCCAUUUCAUUCUGAAUUGCAUUUUUCUCAUGGUAUUCAUCAUCUCACUACUGCAUCUGCUCAAGCUAAUUAUAGAGUUAUGAGACAUAAUCUGUGUCUAGGGAAUGUGAUUACAUUUAACAGUUUUCCAAAUCAAUUUGAAAAGAUCAAAAAUGUUGGGUGGGAUUGUGGUUACUUUUUAUUAUAAGUCUAUCUAUCCUGGUCUCAUAUCUGAAUUUUACACUCACAUGGAAUUCUCUAAGGAUUCAUCUGGUUUGUUAAAAAGCAUCACUACUUGUAUACAAGGUCAAACAUAUAUCAUUGAUGAAAUGUUUCUUUUACAUACACUCCAACUGCAUCCUUGUACUUUAGAAUUACCUAGGAUUAACUCUUAUCUUUAUCCCUCUAGUAUUUCUGUGGAAAAUGCAUGCUAUUUAAACACAACUUGUCUAUUGUGAUUGAUCAAAUGGUACAUGCUUUAUUGUUUGAUUUUCCUCGCAAAGUUGGUUUAGAAUUUCUUCCUGCUGAGAGUCAAUUCUUGGGUAAAAUUCUUAGAAACAACUUCAUGCUUAUUAGAGAUGAUAGGAAAUUACUGCCUUUUGAUUUGAAAUUAUCAAAAGCAUCUUGAAUGAGUGCAUGCCUUGCAACUUGGCCUUUGGUUUGUUCCACAACAACUGUUUUGGCUUUGGUUUGUUGCUUACUCACAUCUUUAAUUAUCUGGAUAUCAAUGUGUCACAACAUCAGUCUCAACUAGUUCCAACAAGCAAUAUUGUCUCCCAUCUAAACCUUCCACCUCAGCCCUUAAUAGUUUUCAAACCUUUUGAUCAUGAUGUCAUCGAAUCUAACAUCAACAUGGCCACUAAAAUCGAUUCUCUUAAUAGCAUGAAUCAACUUCUUCUACAAAACCAAACUCUUAUGUUAGAAAAAUUGGAAGAUGUGCAAUUAUCUUUGCAUAUUGUUAAGUCCAUGGUCUGUUUUCUGAUGGAGAACAAUAGAUUGCUUAUGGGUCCCUAUCAAUUUCAUGUUAAUGCCAAUGAUGACCCAACUGAUCUUGUACCCCAACCAUUCCCAGAAGAUACGGAUACCAACAUUCCAGAAAUGUCUCCACCACCACCACCACCACCACCACUACGACCACUACUACUACUAAUACUACUACUACUACUACCACCACCACCACCUCUACUGAUAUGUUUGUUAAUAACUGUUUGUGUAGGAUCAUUUGACUAAUAUUUUCUGCAGGAUUAAUUCUAUUUCCCCAUCAUUUUUUAUGAUGACAAAGGGGGAGAAGAAAAUUAUUAUAAACUGCUAUAGGAUGUUAUAAACUGCUAUAACUACCUUAACUGUUAUAAACUGCUAUAAUUGCCUUAACUGUUAUAAACUGCUAUGGAAUUGGACUUCAAGUGUUCAUAGUUUUUGAGGGGGAGCUUCUUAUUAGUAAGGGAUAAAAAUAUUUUUAUAAUUGUCAUCAUCAAAAAGGAGGAGAUUAAUAUGUCUCAUUUUAUCUUAUAUAUUUUGAUGAUAACAAUUAGGAAGAAAUUAAAUAAGUUUGUAAUAUAUUUAAUUUAUUAUUUUAUCUAAACUAUUUUCUAUUUUUAUUUGAAUUAAUUUUUAUUGACCUUGAUAAUUUAACUAUUAAGUGUUAAAUAAAUUGAUUCAUAUAAAUAUCCAAGGCAAAGAGAUCCUAUUUCUUUUUUAAAACCAAAGUUGGGCAAAAUUUGUUGCGUGCAUGUAUACAUAUAUAUAAUAACGUGUGUGUUAAAAUAUAAUAUAAAGUCUUAUAUAUAUAUAUAUAUAGAGAGAGAGAGAGAGCAAGGAUCAAGUGCAUACUCCUUUUCUUACUCACCCGUGCUCACCCCCUUUAGCGACGGACCUGACGACGAUUUCGGUCAUACAACCGUCGUCUAUACUUUUAGCGAUGGAUAACAUAUAACAUCGCUAAAAGUAUGGACGAAGGUUGUAUGACCGAACCGUCGCCGGGUCCGUAGCUAAAGGGGGGUGAGCACGGGUGAGUAAGAUAAGGGGUAUGCACUUGAUCCNNNNNNNNNNNNNNNNNNNNNNNNNNNNNNNNNNNNNNNNNNNNNNNNNNNNNNNNNNNNNNNNNNNNNNNNNNNNNNNNNNNNNNNNNNNNNNNNNNNNNNNNNNNNNNNNNNNNNNNNNNNNNNNNNNNNNNNNNNNNNNNNNNNNNNNNNNNNNNNNNNNNNNNNNNNNNNNNNNNNNNNNNNNNNNNNNNNNNNNNNNNNNNNNNNNNNNNNNNNNNNUAUAUAUAUAUAUAUAUAUAUAUAUAUACAGUAAGGAUCUUAGACUCACCCGGCUAAAAACUCCCCCAACUCAUCUAUAUAUAUACUCUCCUUCUCAUUCUCUCUCCUAAUUAGACACAGCCAAAAAAAAAGAGCCGCGUUUUUUGUUACUUCUCUCUCCCUCUCGUCGCGAAGAUUGAUAACCCAUCUCCAGCUCGACGAAGACUGAAGAUAUUUCUCCAUCUCUAAGCCGCCUAAAGAAGCUCUGACUUCGCGGCUUACUUCGCGAAGAAGAUCUGACUUUUCUGCCUUCACGAGACUCGGCCCCUUCUCCCUUAUACGUCGAUUCAUUAAUUUUAGACCAAGGUAACAAAAUUAGAACUUUGUAUAUGGAUUUUCUUGUUUUAUGGGUUGAAAUCAGGCUUAGAUUCGUUCCAAUUUGUGUUUUGGUGUUCAAUAAUAGCUUUUUUAGGGCUUAAAAAUUAUGAGGGCCAAACCCUAUAAUCUGUAAAAUUAUUGUGUUUUUGAUUUGUAUUAUGAAGUUGUAAUGGAGUUGGGUUCUGAAAGAUUAUUUGGUGUUAUUAUAUUUUGGAAGUAGUACUUGUUGGAGACUCGUGAAAUUUUGAAAAAUCUGCAAAAUCUACAAAAUUUUGGAAGCAACAUUGGGAAAACCAGUUUUUGUUUUUUUUGCAGAGCUUAGUGCUUUUCUUGCAGUUUGGUGAAAACCAGUUCUUGUUUUUUAAGGAUACAUAUGCAAUAUUAUAUAUUUUGAAAGAUUGUUGGUGACAAGAUGAUUUGUGAUGAAAAGGUAUAUUGUUGGUGUUUUGCUUACACUUCUUUUUCUUUGUGAAUGUUCCUGCCAUGUGCUUGCUUUUCAUUUUUGAAACCACCUAAUUGUCACAUUACUACUUCUUAACCUUCUUGUCUACUAAAUAUUCUGUAUUAUUUCACAGAUUGAACUUUCUGGGGACUAAGGCUUACUAAGGUUUACUUGAAUAUGUUUUGUAUUUGCAGCCAUGAAUAAUGCACUAUGUGAUUGUGAUAGGCCAGCUCAACUUGAAACAUCAUGGACUGAUACUAACCCGGGAAGAAGGUUUUUAUCAUGUCCGAAUUAUAGAAAAGUAAGUGUGUUAGUGUUCCAUGUUUGUCUAUUAUCUCUUUCAUUCUAUCUACUUAUACAUAAAAUUGAAAACUUCGUUGUUUACAGAGGAAUGCCUGUUAAUUUUUUGGUUGGUACGAUCCUCCAAUGUGCGACAGAUCAAGGCAAAUAAUACCUAGAUUAAUUCGAAAGAUCAAUGGAAUGGAGCAAGAGAUGGAGAACAUGCGUGUAAUAGGCAACAAAGGAAGAACACAAUUAAUUAUUUCACUUGUAUGUUCUUGGUUAUUGAUUUUAAUAAUGUUAUUGUAGAUGGAGUAAAAAUUGUCAUUUUGGUUAAUUAAACUUUAGUGUUAGUUUAUUGUAACCUUGUCAAAGAAGGACAUGUAAUCAAGGUAUAGUUGAUUUUAAUAUGAAAUACGUUAUUUACCAA
rnacentral:lncRNA from 1 species